rnacentral:rRNA from 1 species
AACGGCCAUACCAUGCUGAAUAUACCGGUUCUCGUUAGAUCACCGAAGUUAAGCAUCAUUGGGCGCGGUCAGUACUUGGGUGGGUGACCACCUGGGAACACCGCGUGCCGUU